CCACAACGGCCGGCCGCCAUGCCGUUCGCAUCUACCUGGUGUCGGACCCGGGCGGUUCCGGCCUCGCCACGCAGCCAGGCGACCGAAUCAAGUAGCAGAUGGCCGCCGCAUGUGCUCCCCUCGCCGAGGACACCUUCUCCACCCAUGCAUUUUCCUCCUCUCUGCAGGGCCACCGCGCCAGAUCCGUCGAUGCCGGAUGGUCGUGCAUCCCCUCCCCCUCCCUUCGUUGAUUUCUCCCUCACCGACAGGCUGCUCGAUCUCCCCUGCUCUGGCGCCUGCAGCUCAUCCCCUGCUUCGUCUAACACGCCAAUUCCGAGCCUCCCGCACCAGUCCAGGCAAACAUCCGGCCACCCCUCUUCAUUAGCCAUGGAAAUGCAGCCACUGGCUUCGAGCAUCCGCUCCUCCACCUCGAUCUCCUGCUUGCCGGUGGGGUUCGGGUGACCCCGCGUGUCCCUACGUGCAGAUUGUAUCGAUGCAGUGCACACAUGUACGAAGGAGAAAACAAGAAUAUCAUCGUUUUUUCUUUCUGAAGUCCAUUAUAUUGUUUGAGAAAACACAAAUAUGAUGCUCGAGUGUGAGAUGAGUUGUGUGUUAAUUUCUGUUGAGAGGUUUACUUUUGUUCGUGGAGAGGUUCGCUUUAUUUCCAUGGUGAAAAAUGCUAAGAAAACAAUGGACUUCGUUUUGUAAAUUUUCCUAGACCAAGAUGUAAUUUUUUUUAAACUGAUGUAGUUCAUAUAUUGAUUUUUUGGUGGUUUUGCUGUCUGAAAAACUAACGAGGUAGUUCACUACAUACAUGUUUUUCA